GUAACAUAGACCUAAAAAAUCUAUAAAACAACUUUUAACAACGGAUCUCUUGGUUCUCGCAUCGAUGAAGAACGUAGCAAAGUGCGAUAACUAGUGUGAAUUGCAUAUUCAGUGAAUCAUCGAGUCUUUGAACGCAACUUGCGCUCAUUGGUAUUC
rnacentral:rRNA from 1 species